CAUCACUCCUUCAGCCUCUAAUAGCAGCCGUUCUGAUACCUGCAUCAGCGCAUCUCUACUACUUACUGCAUGCACCAUCGCGUCUGACUACUAGCAGCUACUUUGAGAACUCUCCCUCACAUCGCUCACAGUGCAAUCUUUAUCAUCAGGAUCUUCCUAUUUCCCACUGCUAAUACAGAACUGCAUGAGAGAGAUAAGCCACGCCCCCUCAUCUCCCCCUCCAGGUGGUCACAGGUGUGCAUGAGAGCAAGAAGCUCCUACACAGCUCCUCAUCUCCCCUCCCCCUGCUUUGUCUUGUGAGGACGCAGGUCUGCAUUGAAAGAAGACAGAGAAGAUGUAUGUGAAGGGGAGGUUAACAAGGUGCAUGGGCUGGGGAUGUAGGGGGAGAUUUAUCAAAACCUAUGCAGAGGAAAACUUGCACAGUUGCCCAUAGCAACCAGUCAGAGCGCUUCUUUCAUUUUUAGGAAGGCCUGUGAAAAAUUAAACAAGUGAUCUGAUUGAUUGCUAUGGGCAACUGGACCCUCUGCACAGGUUUUGAUGAAUCUCUCCCGUAUAGACUGCAGGGGAAUAAAUCUCGGACUGGGGUUGAUUUCUG